rnacentral:rRNA from 1 species
AUUGAACGCUGGCGGCAGGCUUAACACAUGCAAGUCGAGCGGGGUGAUGGUGCUUGCACUAUCACUUAGCGGCGGACGGGUGAGUAAUGCUUAGGAAUCUGCCUAUUAGUGGGGGACAACAUCUCGAAAGGGAUACUAAUACCGCAUACGUCCUACGGGAGAAAGCAGGGGAUCACUUGUGACCUUGCGCUAAUAGAUGAGCCUAAGUCGGAUUAGCUAGUUGGUGGGGUAAAGGCCUACCAAGGCGACGAUCUGUAGCGGGUCCGAGAGGAUGAUCCGCCACACUGGGACUGAGACACGGCCCAGACUCCUACGGGAGGCAGCAGUGGGGAAUAUUGGACAAUGGGGGGAACCCUGAUCCAGCCAUGCCGCGUGUGUGAAGAAGGCCUUAUGGUUGUAAAGCACUUUAAGCGAGGAGGAGGCUCUUUUGGUUAAUACCCAAGAUGAGUGGACGUUACUCGCAGAAUAAGCACCGGCUAACUCUGUGCCAGCAGCCGCAGUAA